rnacentral:rRNA from 1 species
CGUAACAAGGUUUCCGUAGGUGAACCUGCGGAAGGAUCAUUAAAGAGUUAGGGUCUCACAGGCCCGACCUCCCAACCCUUUGUUUAUUCAACCAUCGUUGCUUCGGCGAGCCCGUCAUUAUUGACCGCCGGGGGACCGUCAAACCGUCCUCUGGUCCGUGCUCGUCGAUGGCCAACAUUUACAAAUUCUUAACUAAACGUGUGUUUAUCUGAGUAAUAUUUUUAAUAAAAGCAAAACUUUCAACAACGGAUCUCUUGGUUCUGGCAUCGAUGAAGAACGCAGCGAAAUGCGAUAAGUAAUGCGAAUUGCAGAAUUCCAGUGAGUCAUCGAAUCUUUGAACGCACAUUGCGCCCUUUGGCAUUCCGAAGGGCAUGCCUGUUCGAGCGUCAUUAUCACCCCUCAAGCCCUUCGGCUUGGUGUUGGACGGUUUGGUGAAUAUCUUUUACUUAUUUACCCCUCCCAAAGACAAUGACGGCGGCCUCGUUGGAUCCCCGGUACACUGAGUUCUUCACCGAACACGUAUUGGAUCAAGGAUUCACGGGCAACGGUCUGCCUCCCCUCAGGGAGAACUUUUAUCUAAGGUUGACCUCGGAUCAGGUAGGGAUACCCGCUGAACUUAAGCAUAUC